rnacentral:lncRNA from 1 species
UUUAGAUUCUCUGACACUUGGUUUCUUCCUUUGUAAAGUGGAAUUAAUAAUAUCUACUGUAAUUAGCAUAUGCUAUUUUUAUUCUCUAGUCACCCGUCUAGUCAUCUAUUCACCCAGUCAGACCAAUCAUAGAUCAGAGAUCACGGAUCCAUACAUCUCUGGAAACAGUGACUGGGCCAAGAAAUGGGCAUGUGAUCCAAUCAGGCCAAUUGGAAUCCCUGUCUGGGGUUUGGUAUCCAGCUAUCGGGAGAUAGCAACUCUUUCUCCUCUAUGGAGUCCCCAUUGGGAUAAUUCAAGCUUGCAACUCCUGCUUCCCCUCUUUUGCCUGUUACAUAAGGCAGUAAAAGGAAAGAAAGAGCCACUCUCAAAUCCCCGUCACAUUUGCAGGGAAGCGCAAUAAGAGAUGUUGAGAAAGAAAGAGAUCCGAUUAUCUAAUUUGAACCCCUGGAUCUAGCCAUGACUGAAGCAGGUAUAUCUCUGCCCUUCCCAGUUUUUGGAAACACUGGACUAACUCCUUCUUUAGUUUGACCACUUUAAUUUAGUCUCCAACAAAAGAUUCCUAACAUAUCUACUUCUUUGAGGGGUUGGUGGGAAUAAAAGAGGUAGUUGAAGUGAAGGGCUUGGAGGAGUGAGCUCAGUGGACACUGGCUUUUCUUACUGCUCCUGUCACAAUCACUGUGUGUGUCUCGAACACAGGUUGGGCUCCGCUCACCUUUGUGGUCCCAGUUCCUCACACCCACUGCCUAGGAAGAUGAUAGAAGAUGUUCCAGGAGAGAGGACCAGCCUGAGCAAACGGUGUCUGUGGCACAGGUGGGUGUCCCCUCUCAAAUCCUGGAUGCAGCCCAGGCCAAUGGCUGCACCUGUGCAGGACCCAACAGCGAUGUCUCAGCCCCUCUUCCUGCCCAACAUGGAAGAGCUUAGAAUGGAGAUAAGACAUGGAGGCUCAGGGCAGUGAGUUUACUCACCCAAGGUCACCUGGCCAAUAUAUGGCAGAGCGGGGACUUGAACCCAUCUUCAGGCUGACUCCACACCUGGGUCUUUAACUGCUCUGCUCUGUGGCCUCCCUGAGGUGAG